UAAAUAUAUUCAAUUCUAAUGAGUAGCAAUCUUUAUAGAUCACCGUUUUAAUAAAUAAAUAAGUUAAAAGAAACAACACAGCACAUGAAAAAAUUUCUAAUUUUAGAAAGGGAAUUUCACAACUCUUUAAAGGAUAUAAAUAUGUAAUUAUUUGCAACACAACUUCUCUUUAUACAAUUCAAAUAAUAUCUAUUUGUUGUAUCUAAAGAGAAAAACAAAUAUGGCUAAAAUUCUCAUGAUUGUGUAUAUUAUGCUUUCAUUUUUCUUUCUAUUUCUAAUUGCAAGGAAUAAUGGCGCUCCACCAGCAGCACUUGAUUGUAUAACAGAUACAGACUGUCCAUAUAGAACUCGGUUUCGUAAGUAUAAGUGUAUUAAAAACAAAUGUAAAUCUAGUAGAGUGUGUUCAAUCACUGGGUAAGGAUCCACUCUAUUUUCUAAAAAAAAUAGAGGGUGUAUUACUAUAGUUUUGUAUGCAUAAAGUCAAAUAAAUAGUAAAUAUAUGUGACAUGUUUUAGAAAUA